AGCGAACGCUGGCGGAAUGCUUAACACAUGCAAGUCGCACGGGGGCUUCGGCCUUAGUGGCGGACGGGUGAGUAACGCGUAGGAAUGUGUCCGAGGAUGGGGGAUAACGUUGGGAAACUGACGCUAAUACCGCAUAUCUCCUGAGGGGGAAAGCCGCGAGGCGUCCACGGAGCAGCCUGCGUACGAUUAGCUUGUUGGUGGGGUAAAGGCUUACCAAGGCGACGAUCGUUAGCUGGUCUGAGAGGAUGAUCAGCCACACUGGAACUGAGACACGGUCCAGACUCCUACGGGAGGCAGCAGUGGGGAAUUUUGGACAAUGGGCGAAAGCCUGAUCCAGCAAUGCCGCGUGCAGGACGAAGGCCUCGGUUGGU
rnacentral:rRNA from 1 species